rnacentral:rRNA from 1 species
AUACGUAGGGGGCGAGCGUUGUCCGGAAUGAUUGGGCGUAAAGGGCGCGUAGGCGGCGCGGUAAGUCUGGAGUGAAAGUACUGCUUUCAAGGAGGGAAUUGCUUUGGAUACUGCCGCGCUUGAGUGCAGGAGAGGUUAUCGGAAUUCCCGGUGUAGCGGUGAAAUGCGUAGAGAUCGGGAGGAACACCAGUGGCGAAGGCGGGUAACUGGACUGCAACUGACGCUGAGGCGCGAAAGUGUGGGGAGCAAACAGGAUUAGAUACCCUGGUAGUCCACACUGUAAACGAUGAAUGCUAGGUGUAAGGGGUAUCGACCCCUUUUGUGCCGGAUUCAACACAAUAAGCAUUCCGCCUGGGGAGUACGGCCGCAAGGUUGAAACUCAAAGGAAUUGACGGGG